rnacentral:rRNA from 1 species
GACGAACGCUGGCGGCGUGCUUAACACAUGCAAGUCGAGCGGUGAAGGGGCCUGCUUUUGUGGGCCCUGGAUGAGUGGCGAACGGGUGAGUAACACGUGAGUAACCUGCCCCCUUCUUCUGGAUAACCGCAUGAAAGUGUGGCUAAUACGGGAUAUUCUGGGUCUGUCGCAUGAUGGGUCUGGGAAAGAUUGCGCCUUUGGGUGUUUUUGGUGGGGGAUGGGCUCGCGGCCUAUCAGCUUGUUGGUGGGGUGAUGGCCUACCAAGGCGGUGACGGGUAGCCGGCCUGAGAGGGUGGACGGUCACACUGGGACUGAGACACGGCCCAGACUCCUACGGGAGGCAGCAGUGGGGAAUAUUGCACAAUGGGCGCAAGCCUGAUGCAGCGACGCCGCGUGAGGGAUGGAGGCCUUCGGGUUGUAAACCUCUUUCGCCAGUGAAGCAGGCCUGCUCCUUGUGGGUGGGUUGACGGUAGCUGGAUAAGAAGCGCCGGCUAACUACGU